CAGCCGCCGCGGGAAUACGUAGGGUGCAAGCGUUAAUUGGAAUUACUGGGCGUAAAGCGUGCGCAGGCGGUUAUAUAAGACAGAUGUGAAAUCCCCGGGCUCAACCUGGGAACUGCAUUUGUGACUGUAUAGCUAGAGUACGGCAGAGGGGGAUGGAAUCCCGCGUGUAGCAGUGAAAUGCGUAGAUAUGCGGAGGAACACCGAUGGCGAAGGCAAUCCCCUGGGCCUGUACUGACGCUCAUGCACGAAAGCGUGGGGAGCAAACAGGAUUAGAUACCCCCGUAGUCCCUGUCUCUUAUAC
rnacentral:rRNA from 1 species